rnacentral:lncRNA from 1 species
AUGAUGUUAUGAUGAUGCCCGAUGAAUUCGGAGAAUAUAAUGAUGUUAGGAUGAUGCCCGGUGAAUCUGGAGGAUAUAAUGGUGUUAUGAUGAUGCCCGGUGAAUCUAGAGGAUAUAAUGGUGUUAUGAUGAUGCUCGAUGAAUCCAGAGGAUAUAAUAAUGUUAUGAUGAUGUUUGGUGAAUCUAAAGGAUAUAAUAU